rnacentral:rRNA from 1 species
GGCGGACGGGUGAGGAAUACAUCGGAAUCUACUCUGUCGUGGGGGAGUAACGUAGGGAAACUUACGCUAAUACCGCAUACGACCUACGGGUGAAAGCAGGGGAUCUUCGGACCUUGCGCGAUUGAAUGAGCCGAUGUCGGAUUAGCUAGUUGGCGGGGUAAAGGCCCACCAAGGCGACGAUCCGUAGCUGGUCUGAGAGGAUGAUCAGCCACACUGGAACUGAGACACGGUCCAGACUCCUACGGGAGGCAGCAGCA